GGGCGUGAAGGUCAGCGACUGGUGUAGUACCUAGCAAUACGUCUAGCGAAUAUUGGUCAUGUGAGUUCGAUUCUCACCUACGCCCUCCA
rnacentral:tRNA from 1 species